AAUUCGAUUGAGUUUGAUCAUGGCUCAGCCUGAACGCUGGCGGCGUGGCUAAGACAUGCAAGUCGUACGGGGCCGUAGCAAUACGGUCCAGUGGCGGACGGGUGAGUAAUGAAUCGCUAAUGUACCCCGGACUUUGGGAUAGCCGGUCGAAAGACCGGGUAAUACCAGAUGAUGUGGCGGCAGGGCAUCCUGUUGACCCCAAAGGGAAACCGGUCUGGGAGCAGGCGAUUUCGUAUCAGGUAGUUGGUGCGGGUAACGGCCCACCAAGCCGACGACGCGUAGCUGGUCUGAGAGGACGGCCAGCCACAUUGGGACUGAGACACUGCCCAGACUCCUACGGGGGGCUGCAGUAACGAAUCUUCCGCAAUGCACGCAAGUGUGACGGAGCGACGCCGCGUGGAGGUUAAGUCCUUCGGGAUGUAAACUCCUGUCAGGGGUUACCAAGUUCUGAGGAGCCCCAGAGGAAGGCACGGCUAACUCUGUGCCAGCAGCCGCGGUAAUACAGAGGUGCCAAGCGUUAGGCGGAAUCACUGGGCUUAAAGCGCGCGUAGGCGGAUGUUUAAGUGUCUUGUGAAAUCCCACGGCUCAACCGUGGAACUGCUGGGCAUACUGGACAUCUCGAGGCACUCAGGGGCGAGCGGAACAAGUGGUGGAGCGGUGAAAUGCGUAGAUAUCACUUGGAACGCCAAUGGUGAAGACAGCUCGCUGGGGGUGUCCUGACGCUGAGGCGCGAAAGCCAGGGGAGCGAACGGGAUUAGAUACCCCGGUAGUCCUGGCCCUAAACGAUGUCCACUAGAUCAUGGCG
rnacentral:rRNA from 1 species